rnacentral:siRNA from 1 species
AUAUGACCGGUGUACAAUCUAUUC